CCUUUGACGUUAGCGGCGGACGGGUGAGUAACACGUGGGUAACCUACCUAUAAGACUGGGAUAACUUCGGGAAACCGGAGCUAAUACCGGAUAAUAUUUCGAACCGCAUGGUUCGAUAGUGAAAGGUGGUUUUGAUAUCACUUAUAGAUGGACCCGCGCCGUAUUAGCUAGUUGGUAAGGUAACGGCUUACCAAGGCGACGAUACGUAGCCGACCUGAGAGGGUGAUCGGCCACACUGGAACUGAGACACGGUCCAGACUCCUACGGGAGGCAGCAGCU
rnacentral:rRNA from 1 species